UGGUUUUGAAGGAAAGCAACUGUUUAGAAUUGCUCCAAGGGAAAACUGUUUGAAAGAGCAGAAUUAUCCAUGCUUUCUGCAGUCUUCUUUUGUGCAGCUUCAUUCCAUUUCAGUGGAGCAAUUCUUUAGGGAAGACCAUGCCCUCAGACCUCUCUGCCACUUAACAUGCAAGCUGAUUGGGGUUGGAAGCUCUUGGAGCAUUUGUAGAAACUCUUAUCCUUGCAAUAAGGCAAAAGGCUGUCUCC